AGUCGUAACAAGGUUUCCGUAGGUGAACCUGCGGAAGGAUCAUUAUCGUACAAAAUGUGAGGGGCAUGUGAGGGCUGUCGCUGACUCAAAGUCGUGCACGCCCGAGUGUGUCCUCUCACAUAAUAAUCCAUCUCACCCCUUGUGCAUCGCCGCGUGAGCACCCUCUGGGAUCAUCUCGGAGGGGGCUCGCGUUUUCACACAAACCCCCCUUUUAAAAGUGUAGAAUGACCUCAUUUAUGCGCUAACACGCAAUCAAUACAACUUUCAACAACGGAUCUCUUGGCUCUCGCAUCGAUGAAGAACGCAGCGAAAUGCGAUACGUAAUGUGAAUUGCAGAAUUCAGUGAAUCAUCGAAUCUUUGAACGCACCUUGCGCCCCUUGGUAUUCCGAGGGGCACACCCGUUUGAGUGUCGUGAAAACCUCAACCUCCUUGGUUUCUUCUGGAGACCAAAGGCAGGCUUGGACUUUGGAGGCCUUUGCUGGAACCUCUCUCUUUUGAAGGCCAGCUCCUCUUAAACGAAUUAGCAGGGUCCUCUUUGCCGAUCCUCGACGUGUGAUAAGAUGUUUCCAUGUCUUGGUUUCUGGCUCUGUCACUUUUGGGACCUGCUUCUAACCGUCUUGACCUUGCAUCGAGACAAUGUUCGAGCAUGUCUCCCUUCUCGGGAAGCUCCCUCGACCCCACGAACCCUUGACCUCAAAUCGGGUGAGACUACCCGCUGA
rnacentral:rRNA from 1 species